rnacentral:piRNA from 1 species
UGAAGGAAUAAGCCACAGGCAGUUGGUGUC